ensembl:lncRNA
CAAAGAAUGUGGGUUGUUUUACAAAGUGGCCUAUGUGGAUUUUGUCUGUAGAGAAGAUGGAGUUGGUGGAAUAUAACUUCUCAGGAAAUCUUGAUGGUAUUCGCACAAGAGUGUGAGCGACUGUACCUGUAUCUCUGUAGGCUCUCAUUUUGGCUAAAGGAAAAAGCAACGUUGAGAAACAGAAGAGUGACAAAUCUCCUCCCUCCCUCAAAUUCCGUCACCCCUUGGAUUACGCACAGUUGUGCUUUUCACACCUCUCAGAGUCACCUGCACAGCUUGUUUCAUAAAGCACACGCCGUUUGAUUAAAUGCCAUCGCUGGGAAGGGAGAGCAUAUUUGUUCAGCUGAUCUGGAUGAGCCAAACUAAAUCUCUAAUAGUCUGCAGUAACGAGGUCUUCCUCAGUUCCUCAUAGAGGGAACAGAACCGGCUCCAGAGAGUGAUUCAUCACAGCCCCAGACAGAUGUCAAAAACAAGAGUCACAUGAAUGGCAGUGCAUCAUGGGGGAACGAAUGUGCCCAUGUCCAGAUCCAAUCCAGGCACUGGGAGAAAAAAGCCCACUUGACAUUCCAGUGCUAGAAGUGCUUCUGGUACUCCCACUCAUCAUUUUGGUGCUGUCAGGCUUUGCUCUUGCUCCCUGCAGACCCCCAUGCUUGUGCUAAGCAUAAAUGAUGGCACACACAUGUUGGAAUUGGGGCACGUGAAUUUGUCCACGCUCCACAAGCGAUGCUGAAAUAAGCCAGUUGACAUCUGUAAAAGAUUGAGUUUAAAUCGAUUCACUUCUAUCACAAUGCUUUUCUCUUUUUUAAAUGUAGACGAGCAUUUGUGUGCCUAACUGUCCCUGAACUCAAAUGGCCAGAGGGAUUGUGUUCAAAUUAUCCAUUAAAAACAAUCUCCUUGCAGAGACCAAGCAUGAAAAAUUCAGUCCAAAAGAUGAAAGGUUCGGAAAAUGUUAGGAGUUCAUGGCAAGAGAGGAUUUAUAAGGGUUUGCAGCCUACACUAUAGUUGCCAUAAGCAAUAUAUACCCUAGCACAUAUAGGGCCAAAGCUUCUACCGACUUUAAAGGAAAAUGGAUUAAAGCUUUGAGCGGAAAGCCUCGUGACUAAUCAUCCAUGUGAGUAACCCACACCAUCACAGGAUCCUUCAAGUUGCUGUGUGCGUUCAGAAGGAGCUGCUGCUGGAAACUCUUUGGAUUAAUUCCUCAGCUCAGGUGGCAGAAAUGGGAAGUUUGAAUGCGAAAGGCCUGAUAUCCAAUCCCUACUGGAAAUCCAGGUGGAGCAGAGGUGCCCAUCUCUGACUGUGGGAUGGGAAGCGUUAUGGAAGAUGCUGACUGUGAUUUUAAGCUGUAUCCAUAUUGUAUUCCUUCUGGACAGCAUGCACAGGGACAGAGACCUGCUUUCAGAAAGCCCUCCCACCACAAAAGAAAAAGAGGUUAUAACAAUUAAUAAAUGUUAUUUAUAAAGCACUUCCCACUCCAAGAGCCUUUUGGGAGCAGCAUGAACCAUUAAAAUGAAAUCCAAUUAUAAAACCCAAUCACAAUUAAAU